UUUGAUCAUGGCUCAAAGUGAACGCUGGCGGCGUGAAUCAUUUAUACAAGUCGAGCGAACCCGCAGGGGUUAGCGGCAAAAGGGUGAGUAACACGUAAAUAAUCUGCCUUUAAAACAAGGAUAGCAUCGUGAAAACGGGGGUAAUACUCGAUGUUAUCGGUGAUUCGUAUGGAUUACCGAUCAAAGAUGGGGACCGUAAGGCCUGUCACUUGGAGAUGAGUUUGCGUACCAUCAGCUAGUUGGUAGGGUAAUGGCCUACCAAGGCUAAAACGGUUAGCUGGUCUGAGAGGACAACCAGCCACUUUGGGACUGAAACACUGCCCAAACUCCUACGGGAGGCUGCAGUCAAUAAUUAUUUAGCAAUGAACAAAAGUCUGAUUAUGCGACGCCGCGUGCAGGAUGAAGGUCUUCGGAUUGUAAACUGCUUUUGUCAGGGGAGAAACC
rnacentral:rRNA from 1 species